GGAGUCGGCCAGGCAAUCGCGGUCCCGAAACGCCGGGAUCGAGGAAAGUCCGAACUCCAGAGGGCAGUGUGCCUCGUAACACGAGGGAGGGGUGACCCUACGGAAAGUGCCACAGAAAACAUACCGCCUCGCUUGGCGAGGUAAGGGUGAAAAGGUGCGGUAAGAGCGCACCGCGUCGCUGGUAACAGCGGCGGCACGGCAAACCCCACACGGAGCAAGGUCAAAUAGAAAAGCGUUCCCGAAAGGGAUAAGGAUGGCCCGUCCGAUGCUUUUGGGUAGACCGCUAGAUCCCCGGAGCGAUCCGGGGACCAGAUGAAUGAUUGCCGUCUCUGCUUGGCAGAGAAACAGAAUUCGGCUUAUGGACGGCUCCGGCG
rnacentral:RNase_P_RNA from 1 species